rnacentral:rRNA from 1 species
AUACGGGAGGCAGCAGUAAGGAAUAUUGCACAAUGGGGGAAACCCUGAUGCAGCAACGCCGCGUGGGCGACGAAGGUCUUCGGAUCGUAAAGCCCUUUUCUGCAGGAAGAGCAAGGACGGUACUGCAGGAAUAAGUCUCGGCUAACUACGUGCCAGCAGCCGCGGUAAAACGUAGGAGGCUAGCGUUAUCCGGAUUUACUGGGCGUAAAGCGCGUGCAGGCGGUUCGCUAAGUCAGGCGUGAAAUCUCUCGGCUUAACCGGGAGGGGACGAAUGAGACUGGCGGACUCGAGGGCAGGAGAGGGAAGCAGAAUUCCCGGUGUAGCGGUAAUAUGCGCAGAUAUCGGGAGGAAUACCAGUGGCGAAGGCGGCUUCCUGGCCUGUUUCUGACGCUAAGACGCGAAAGCUAGGGGAGCGAACGGGAUUAGAUACCCCGGUAGC